GAGGAAAGUGGGCCUGCAUAUCCAACAGAUGUGUGGUGAUGCCAACUGGUUGUAUAACCUCUGUGACCUGACCAAGGCAGAGGUUGGAGUAAAACACUGCUUUGAUGCCACGAAUGGGCCCCUGCUGGGUUUUGGUAACAAAGGUGGUGGUUCCUGGAUUAACAGUCCCAUGGAGGUCUCUCCCCACAGGAAGGGAACAUCCAGGUGGUGUGAAUUAGCAUGGAAGACCAAUGCAGUGGAAGUAAAAUGCCAAUUUCCAUUGCAAAGGAGGUAAAAAUGUCUCAAGUUGAUUACCUACAACAGCCUCCCAAACUGGAAGAGAGAGGACUUAAUGGAGAAAUUAUGAAGUUGUCUGGAAGAACUGAACUAGGUAGUCAGGAUCAAAAGGAGGUUCUUCAGUGGCAGAUCUGCUGGAAUUCCAGGGGACUGUGUGGGUGCCAAAAGUUUACAUGAAUACAAGGAGUGUAAUGGGCAAGGCCAUAUAUGUGAGACCAGAAGUUACUGGUGAGAAAAAACCGUAUUGUCCUUAUGAAAUAUCCAGAGCUGAAAAUAAUUAAUGAGUGGGAAAGUACUGAGAGAGAAGUGUUGCAGUGGCUCUUCCUCUUGGGACAGACUUUUUGGAAUAU